GGGAAUGUGGCUUAGUGGUAGAGUGCUUGCCUAGCAUGCAUGAAGCCCUGGGUUCCAUUCCUC
rfam:Dipodomys ordii contig_50781, whole genome shotgun sequence.